rnacentral:piRNA from 1 species
UGAGCGCAUUUGUAUACACUG